GACGAACGCUGGCGGCAGGCCUAACACAUGCAAGUCGAGCGGAGCGGCGGACGGGUGAGUAAUGCCUAGGAAUCUGCCUGGUAGUGGGGGAUACCGUCCGGACACGGUCGCUAAUACCGCAUACUAUCAGAUGAGCCUAGGUCGGAUUAGCUAGUUGUGGGGGUAAAGGCCUACCAAGGCGACGAUCCGUAACUGGUCUGAGAGGAUGACCAGGCACACUGGAACUGAGACACGGCCCAGCCUCCUACGGGAGGCAGCAGUGGGGAAUAUUGGACAAUGGGCGAAAGCCUGAUCCAGCCAUGCCGCUUGUGUGAAGAAGGUCUUCGGAUUGUAAAGCACUUUAAGUUGGGAGGCGUUACCCGCAGAAGAAGCACCGGCUAACUCCGUGCCAGCAGCCGCGGUAAUAC
rnacentral:rRNA from 1 species